rnacentral:rRNA from 1 species
GGCGAACGGGUGAGUAACACGUGGAUGAUCUGCCCUGCACUUCGGGAUAAGCCUGGGAAACUGGGUCUAAUACCGGAUAGGAGCCAUUUUUAGUGUGAUGGUUGGAAAGUUUUUCGGUGUAGGAUGAGCUCGCGGCCUAUCAGUUUGUUGGUGGGGUAAUGGCCUACCAAGGCGGCGACGGGUAGCCGGCCUGAGAGGGUGGACGGCCACAUUGGGACUGAGAUACGGCCCAG